ACUUUCGCUAUUUGAAGACAUUAGGAAGUUAUGUGGUGGCUCCGUACCCUCCUUUCUCCAUCCGAGGCCGGGGUCCUAAAGUCGGUGUCACGGUGGCAGCACCCAGCGUUUUGUUGGCUCUUUCGCCAGCAGCGCCGAGCGGGGGGUUUUCUGUCACAGCACUUGUUGCACCGAAUUUCUCGGUCGCAGAACCUCUCUUUUCCGAGGGUCGACAUUUUCUGCGUGACAACACCGUUGGUUCCGCCAAAAUGGAUGUUGUCCUUGGGAACUCCUCCGGCUGGCGUCACUCUUAGGGUCCCAGCACCGCCAUUUCGCCAAGCCGAGUUCUCUUGGUCGCGGCACAUCUUGUUCCUCGGUGCCUCCAUUUUCUCGGUGGCGGCAGCGCUCUGGUAGCCGAUCUGAGGGAUUUGGAAUCGCAGCCAGUUGCGCAGAGUCUGGGGUUCCCGGGCGACGCCGGCGCUGGGCGGGGGAGCCCGCCGCUCCUCCGAGCCAGAGGCAGAGGAGCUGCGCGGACGCCGUCUCUUCACAGCGCCGCGAGCGCCGACGCACGGGUUCCUGCUCGGCCUCCUGAACCCAGUCCCCCGGCGGCGCCGCUGGCGUCUCUAUCGCAGGCCCCUGCGGUUUCGCCCGUCGUUGGCUUCUUGGUCCUAGCAAGUUUCGAUUUCGCGGUGCCCGCUAUUUCUACCUCUUGUCCAAAUAACUAGCCAAAAUGUGAUUUCUCAGCCUAAGCAAGUCCCGAUUUAGGGCAUCGGUCUAGCCCUGGCUGCGAUUUCUUGGUCCUAGGAAGUCACUGUUUAGCUGUAGCAAGGCAGACUUAACCGUGCGAUGGUGACUUUUCUUUUUCUUUGGUUCUUUUUCUUUUCUCUUUCUUUCUUGAUACGGGGUCCGGCUCUGUCGCCCAGGCUGGAGUGCAGUGCCGCGAUCUCGGCUCACUGCAACCUCCGCCUCCCGGGCUGAAGCGAUCCUCCCACCCCAGCCUCCGGGGUAGCUGGGACCACAGGCACGCGCCACCACGCCCGGGUAAUUUUUUGUAUCCUUCCUAGAGACAGGAUUUCGCCAUGUUGCCUGGGCUGGUCUCAAACUCCUGAUUUCUUAGUCUGACCAAGUCAGAGUUUAGUUAUUUCUUACCGUAGCAAGUUGAGAGUUAUUCCAGUUUGCGAUUUCUGGUUGUAACAAUUCUGGCUUUAACCAUGCCUACAUAAUUUUAGUAGUAGCAAAUUCCUGUUCCGUAAUAGGAGCCCCCAUUAUAGCCAUGCGUGCGGUUUAUAACUCCUGUAUUAAUCUAGGUACUGAAGAAUGCAAUUUAAAAAAAUUUAGCAGUGUCUGGAAUUUUUAAAUCAUACCAAGUUAGAAUUCGCAAUAGUCUCGCCCUGGCUAUGCUGGCGAUUUUUCACUCAUGUAGAAGUUGGGGUACGUCGGCUACAGAUAAUUGUUGGUGUCGCAAAUACCGGUUUAACCAUGGCUGUUUCUUCUUAAUCCGAGGAAACUUCGGAUAGGCGCAAGAGGCACGGGUUUAGUGCUGACAAAUAUAAUGGUAGGAUCUCACCAUUCGACCCUGUUUGCAAUUUCUUUCUGUUUGUAGGAUGCUUUGUAUGUUUUGUAUACUCAAAAAAAAAAAUUUUUUUUUGGUGUAUCUUGUUCUGGCAGCGAGGUUAUCAGUGUAUUUUGUUUUAAUUUCUAUUUGCUUUUAAAUUUUUAAUUAUUUUUUAAUUUAAAUGUUACGGUAUUUUUUUCUUACCCACUGUCUUCCCCGGUAGAAUAAAUGUGGCGUAUUUCUUCUACUGA
rnacentral:lncRNA from 10 species